ACCCACAGAAGCCUGGAGGUAUAUUUAACUCUGCAAUAUCUGUAGCAAGCAGAGGUUUUCAUGUUUUUUAAGAUGACCAAAAAUAAGGUUUAGCUUCUAUUGAUUUUCAUUAAGAUUUACAUACCAACUAACAUGACACUCCCAUCCAGGAACUUUUUAGUUUAUUUUUGUGGUUUUUAAGUUACUGACUUUCAAUGUUUCCUUCUUUAGUACCUGAAGGAAAAGGAAUGUGUUAUCUUGGAACAACAUUCUCUGAAAGGAACCGAAUACGAAACACAAUACAGUGUUGGAAAUGGAAAAGCAGAGCCUUCUUUUAUCAUAUUGCAGGACAUGUUUACUACUAAAUCUGUUAGAAAAUAAUUUAAAAACCUGAAGUCAGAUUUUCAGCUGUGCAGAACUCUGCCUGAGAGGAAUGACGAGGAUAAAAAUAUGGCUCUGUCAUCUGCUGCUGCCUGAUCUCUACACUUCCCUGAGCAUAAUUCUAACUUAAACUCUGCUCUUGCUCACUGCAGAGUGGACUAGCCAUAUUAAUGCUGAUGUUAUCAUUAUUUCCAGUUCCAGAAUUGCUUUAUAAGCCAGUUAAGGUGUUAAAGAUACUAAAAUGCAGAUUAAAUGCUUCAGUAAUAUAAUGCAGUCAGUUGCUCUUGUUGCUAAAGUGGAGUAUAAUGUAUUGCAGAAAGGAGUAAGAGACACUCCAGGAGAGUAUUUCCUUGUGAAGCUCUGGUGUGCCAAAUUAUGAAAAAAAGACCCGAGAACCAUUUAUUUCUCGUAAUACUGCAUUUGCUGAUCUCUUUUAUCACCAAUUAGCAAAAUUAUAUUUGUCCCUUUAGCCUUAAGUAAAUGGUUCAACAUUAUCUGCAUUCCUUAUUUGCUACAAAAUAUCCCAGAUUCAGAACAAGAGAUGUGUAUCAUACGUAAGUUGGAAUAUGUAUCUGUAAUCUACCCAAAGUUGAGACUGUCUCUAUAUCUUCAUAGAUGGAACUUCAGAAAGAAGUAAAUCAGUUCCUUUCAUCCCUGCGAACACAGGAUAUAAGGAUAGCAAGAAUAUCUGGGAACUCCAGUUGAUUUACCUGCUUCACAAACUCAUUAAAUACAGCACACAACAAUCAGCAGUCCCAAAGCUGGAGACAUCCAAGGUUAAAAUGACAGAAACAUAUGAAACUGGGCUUGCUACAUUCUGCUAGUGAACAGAGUGCAGUGCCUACACCAGUCAUCGUUUUACUAUUACCUAUUUCUUUGCAAGAAUGCUAAAAUUCAUCAACAUAUAUCAAUGAUGGAAAAUAUUUAAAGCUAUAAGUUAUGAAGCUGCUGAUGAGCACAACCUGACGCAGGUGGUGGCUGAUUCCUGUGGGUUGCCUUUCGCAGCCAAGAAGCUGUUGACCAUUUCUAUACGCCAGGAAACACAGCUGUCUGUAAAGAUCAAGUAGCUAGACCCAAACACGCUCAGGUGUGAAUUCAUCCUCCCGUGACAAUUAAGAAUGAUGCUAACUGGAAAAGGAUGCUUAAUUCUAACUGUUAAGUGAGCUGAACCAGAAGCAGCCUGGAAGAGACAGAGGAUUAAAAUAGUGAAAGUUAAAUGUGCCAAGAAUGGCAAAAAUCAAAGAGCAAAAAUCCAAGUGCAGAGGCUCAUCCGCGGUGCGCGUGGCUGGCACACGAAGCACGUCGGAGUGGCACAGACUAGCGGGUGCUCUGGAGAGAUGGUUUGAUAAAAACAUUUAAGACCAAACUUAUUUUUUCUUUCCUGAUGAAGGGUAUAUUUUCAGCUGGAAGAAGCUAGCAAGAGCUUAAGGAGGUUUGCUGCAAUAGUAGCAACAGAGGAAACAUACAGCUCUUUCUUGCAUCUAGAGAAUACCUCAAGCACCAGUAAAAGCUCAGCCUGCGUUGUCUGCCCAGAGACAUAGAAGUUAAUGUACAAAAAGAAGCAACAGUACUCACUACAGAAUUGAUUUCUCUUUUUGUGAGACGACUCUUCAAGUGGCAACACGUCAUCUGUGGGAAGACAUCCUGCCAAAAAGAGAACAAAAGAUACGUUGAGAAUGAGAAACUGGUUUGGACAGUGCCUGACUUUUGAGAUCACUGAACGACCUGAAAUUUAGAAUGAAAGCUCCCAAACUGAGACAGUUAUUAAUCUGCGUUAGCAAGAGCAUGGUGUAACUUCAGCAUCUGAUUCAAUCCUACAGACGUGUGGAACUUCAGACCACUUCCAGGACUGGAAAUCUUCAUGGGCAGAAAAGAAAAAGUGAACAAGCUACAGAAGUCAGUCAUUUCAGCAUUAGCCCGGUAAGCUCAAUGGAUGAGAAAAGAAAUCACUUGCAUACAGUUUGCAUGGUGCUUUUCAGAUUAGCAGAAAUGUAAGGACUUCACCCUGGAGAUUUUAAAAUUAAAAUGAGUCAUGAUGAUCAGAAAAUAAAGAGGGGGAACGAAGGCAGAAAUGAAAAAGAGGUGGUAAACUCACACGAGGGCAUCAUUUACAUGAAAAAAUUUUGCCAUUUCAGCUUGUUUUCUUGCAAGUACAAGAUGUUCUAGAUGCAGAAGAGCUUGCAAAGGCCACAGGUUAUUUGGCACCGAAAACAAGUGAGGACAAUUUUAAGCUGUGUAUCAGGAAAAUUAAAUUAAAAACACCAACUGGGAGGAACUCCAGCUUCAAACAAUUUUUGCUUCUUAUCUUGACUGGUGCUGGCACCUUGCCCUCUCCUGAGUGAACCCUGACAAUUUCUAAAGUAACGAACCAAAGUCAUCUCACAAGAUUUCGUCAAACACCCUGUAGAAUCACAGGUCCAGCUGACAGCUAAGGAGGACCAGAUCAUGCUCUUACCUUUAGCACACAAAGGUAAAAAUUCCAGCAUGACAAGAUAACGUUCACUUGUGCACAUACCACCCUUGGACACACCAUUUUGCUUAGCUGGAAGAGUAGCUUCCUCUGUCCUUCCUAAAGUGUUGUGACACCUACUCGUGAAUCAGAAGCCACAGAUAAACACAGCUCUUGAUCUGCGACCCUCUCCAGAUCCCUCCUGCUGCUUUGCCUGGUGUCACUGUGGACACCACCACACUGUGUGUAACCUGGCCUCAUCUUCGGCCUGAGUUAGAUUCGCCCCUUCAGCUACUUUUAAGGCUGGAAGUUUGUUUUCCUUUUAAUAUUUGUAAAAUACAGCCUUUCAUAAACAUAGAGGUAAGGCUUGGUUUCAGACUCCCACCCUCUAUUCGUGGUUCUUGCUGUGCCCAUAUCUUGAUAGAAAUUAUCCUUCCCUGUUUGCUCAUUAUGAAGGUUGCUGCCAGGAUCAUUUUCCAUGCUCGUUCCCUCUUUAUUUUCCCUUUGCUGGCUCUGGCUUCUCUACUGCACAGAUUCUCUGCUGCGAACGAAAGUGAUUUGUCUUCACAUUCAAGGUUCAUUAUAAUUUACUCCCUACUUACUAUGUCUCAUUUACUACUGGAGAUUGACUUUGUCCUCUGAUUACUGCACAGUGCCAGUUUCAGGCGCCCACAUACGACAUAGUUAAAUGUAGCUGACCAUUUAUUGCUCCUGAUUUUCAUUCUCCUCUGCGUCUUUGGCAGAGGGGAGUACACAGAUGGUAGUGGGAGAUUCGUGCUAAGGCAGUAAACCCCUUGGAGUGGACACUAUCUUUUGUUACAGGUUUGAGAAGGGAUUUGCACAAAGUAGCCACAGUCCUUCCAAGCAAAUGCCAUGCAAAUAAGUAACAGUGAAAUAAAGGAGAAUAACAGACAUAUAAUAUGUAUAUACUUCCUUAAUAGCAUUGUUCUAUGUAAAAUAGUACCCUGGAGACAUUAUGUACUGAAAAAUGAAAUAUGGACCAUAGGGCUACAAAUGGGAGUAGGGGGAAUUGCAAAGAUGUCUCUAACCAAAAGGAGGCCUGCAGCAUGAAAACGUUUGAGAAUGUCUGCAAUAUAUUAAGCCAUUAACCUAUUUUAGGCAAUCAUGGUCUUACAGCUUCUUGAGCCAACAGGAGUCCUUCUAUUAAUUUCAGUACAGAUUGGAUGACAAACACUUAUGCGUUCAUUUUCUUUGAGGAGUUUUGAAAAUGACAUAUUGCAGAACAAAAGGCAAACCAAAAUCUUUUCUCCAAAUGUUUGUCAGCAGUCUGUUUUAUGAGAGUAUGAAGGUAGAACUCAAAUUAACACACUUGAUAUAGUGCAUCAAGCAAGGCUUUCUGAGAUAAUAACAGAUGAAUUCUCAAACACCAGACACAGGUGACAAGCUAAGAAGCCCAGCACAUCAUGUAUAAGAUAUAAAUGGAUCCAUCUGUCAACAGUUACUUUAUAAGUGAAUUGCUCUCAAUUAUGUUAGAAACAACAUUUAAUGAAAUACAAUUUUAAAAUACUACACAGAGGAAAAAAAUGUGCAAAGUAAAUUCCUGAUACAACGAAAAUUGAAAGGAAUGACAGAUUCUGCUAUUAUAAUUGGCAAACAGAAUAGAGGAUUUUGAUAGAGGUGACAAUAGGACAGCUCUUGGGGUAUCAUUUGGCUGGGAUAGCAAUCUUCUGAUCAUAUGUCCAACCUGUCUUCAGAGGUCAUUUUCAAGGUGCAUGUUCAGAUGAGAAAUAGUAGUGUUAUAUGACAAUUUCACUGAUGGCUGCAAAGAAGUGUUCAUUACGUUGCUGCCUUGCCACAUGAGGAGGGACCGGUCAUGUAUCAAAUGGUGGAAUAGGUGUCAAUGAAAAACAAGUUUAGGUAUUCUGCAUUUCAAUCCUUCAUUCAAUCCACAUGCAGUCCUUUCUCCUAUGCCAAGAAGUCAAUGAACCAAUAUUAAGUGGAAGACGAACAAUAGGGUUUUUGUUUUUCAUUAUCUUCUGGGUUUUGGAUGUUUUUCCUUGAACAUUUAUUAUGUCAGUCAUCAUGAGAGUCUAGUUUGGAGAAAGCACCCCAUUUUAGAAGGGAAGCUCUAGAUACACCUAGCUUUAACAGCGUUACAGAUCUCAAACCACCAAAGAAAAUGGAAUUGAUAGGGAAAAUCUAAACUGUCUUUAAGAAUCAACAAAUUAUUCUGAGAUUGGAAAUGUUUAAAUUGCAAACAUAUAUACACUUCCUGAUCUUACUACAGGGUGGAAUAAAAGUUGUUUAGGUGCCUCAUCUGUGACUUACCACAUAAUAACAAACAUGUUUGUGGAUAUACUUUAACUUACAUCAUUUAGGAACUUCCUAGGAGUAUGUUUGGACAAUAAACAUAAUGUGUUUUCUACCGAGUUAACGAUGCAUCCUCUCAAACUGAAUCUCAUCCUCAUACAGCUUUUACCUUGGUAUGAUAGAGACAGAUUGUGCAUGUUGCCCCAUAUUGACUGAAGUUAUAUCAGGGUGUGUGACAUAUUUUUGCAAGUUAUAUCUUAAAAUAUUCUUCCCAUAGCCCAGCAAUGGAAGCACACCAUAUUUUUCUGAAAUGCAGGCACCAGUGCGUUGUAGUCUUACAGACAAAAUUUACUAAUGUUGAAUUUAAAGUUAUUAGAAAUACCAUUGCUUUCACAAGUACACAAACAUUGAAUUAAUUACUAAAUCUAUCUGAGAUCAGCCAAAUUAUGAGUAGCACUUCAGUGACUGAUUUGCCUUGGAAGUUCACGUUUACAAAUUAUAUUCACCAAUAAAAUAGGCUUAGGUAUGACACAGAAGUUACUUCUAUUACUCAUGAAAUAUUUUCUACUUUGCUUUUUGUUCUUGGGAAUGCUAUGCACCAAACGAUAUAUUUCCCGUAUGAGAUGGCUUUCCUGAAACAUCUGAUGCCAGAAAGUUUGUGUGGAACUUGCAAUGAUGGAUGAAUUUUUGACAGGUAAUUGCAAUUCAGAUCAGAUGCAGACAGAUUUAGUACCUAGAAGCUCCCAGUUUAUUAAAAUCACCAUUGAUUUAUUUAAGCACCCCCUCCUCUUUUCACCACCAUUCAGAAAUUAAUCACUUGGGUAUGGUGUUCAGGGCUCAUCCAGCUGCUCAUAAUAUGAAAUGCAUCAGUUUAGCCUAACUUCAUCUAUCUAUCAGCACUUUUGAAGUAUUCAUCACCACAGUAUCUAGGUACCACCAAAACCAGCAUGUAAAAUUAGUAUAAACCUUUCGUAAAAGCUGAAAGAAACGCUAAGAUUCAUUAGUUACACGGUUUCAACUCUUCAGCCUUACUAAAGCAAGUUAAGUGUCACCACUAACCAUUUCAUCUAUGAAAACUAUAUUUUUCUUACACAGUAGUGGAAAAGAUUGAAAAGCAUCACUGGUUUGGUCCCAGCCAGUACCACUUCUUCCUGUUUGUAAUGUAUUAAAAAUUCAUUACUGAA